CUACCAUGCAGUCGAACGAUGACUUUUGUGCUUGCACAGAAUGAUUAGUGGCGAACGGGUGAGUAACACGUGAGUAACCUGCCCCUGACUCUGGGAUAAGCCUGGGAAACUGGGUCUAAUACUGGAUAUGCACCGUAGACCGCAUGGUUUUUGGUGGAAAGAAUUUUGGUCAGGGAUGGACUCGCGGCCUAUCAGCUUGUUGGUGAGGUAAUGGCUCACCAAGGCGACGACGGGUAGCCGGCCUGAGAGGGUGACCGGCCACACUGGGACUGAGACACGGCCCAGACUCCUACGGGAGGCAGCAGUGGGGAAUAUUGCACAAUGGGCGAAAGCCUGAUGCAGCGACGCCGCGUGAGGGAUGACGGCCUUCGGGUUGUAAACCUCUUUCAGUAGGGAAGAAGCGAAAGUGACGGUACCUGCAGAAGAAGCGCCGGCUAACUACGUGCCAGCAGCCGCGGUAAUACGUAGGGCGCAAGCGUUAUCCGGAAUUAUUGGGCGUAAAGAGCUCGUAGGCGGUUUGUCGCGUCUGCCGUGAAAGUCCGAGGCUCAACUUCGGAUCUGCGGUGGGUACGGGCAGACUAGAGUGAUGUAGGGGAGACUGGAAUUCCUGGUGUAGCGGUGAAAUGCGCAGAUAUCAGGAGGAACACCGAUGGCGAAGGCAGGUCUCUGGGCAUCUACUGACGCUGAGGAGCGAAAGCAUGGGGAGCGAACAGGAUU
rnacentral:rRNA from 1 species